rnacentral:rRNA from 1 species
AUGAGCUACAGCCGCGGGAAGCAGCAGAUGAGACGGCGGAGGCCAUGGCCGCCGGAUCCAGAGGAGGCGAAGCCUUGGCGGCCACCACUGCGGGACAACUCCUCGACCUGGUCGGCAUCAAGAGGCGGUGAUCCCGACAGGAAGAGGAUGACCGCAGGGAGGCAGGGGGAGCUCGGGGGACAUGUCGCCGCCGGUAGACAGUGGCUGUGCCACGGCGCCGCCGAGAUCGCGCUGGGUCUUGGCGCCCCAAAAAUUCGAGGGGAGGGGAAGGGCGGCGCGCCCUACUACCAAUCGUCUGCGUCGCUGCAGAUCGAGGCGAGGGGAAGUUCGGCGAUGCCUAGGGAAGGGGAAAUAGAUGGAUCGGGGGAGGGCGACACCGGCGAGGGAAGAAGGUGGAUUGGGGCAGGGCGGCGCCAGCGGGGAAAGAAAGUGGAUCGGGGGAGGGCGGCGCCGGCGGGGGAAGGUCGCCGGGCACGGGGGAGCCGCGCGCAUCUCGCUCCGGGGUGGUGGGUUGGCAGGGCAAAAGAGAUAGACAGGCGGCAGUACGGCUCUGGCAUCGGAGGCACGAGCCCCUGGCGUCGCCGGCAGUGGAAGGUGGAGGGGAGGUGGGAGGAGGCUGUGCAGGAGGAAGAAGGUGGGAAGGAGGGGAUCGGGCAUGAACAGAACGUGUGA